GACUCUCGGCAACGGAUAUCUCGGCUCACGCAUCGAUGAAGAACGUAGCAAAAUGCGAUACUUGGUGUGAAUUGCAGAAUCCCGUGAACCAUCGAGUUUUUGAACGCAAGUUGCGCCCAAAGCCUUUUGGCCAAGGGCACGUCUGCCUGGGCGUCACAC
rnacentral:rRNA from 1 species